rnacentral:rRNA from 1 species
UUGAACGCUGGCGGCAUGCCUUACACAUGCAAGUCGAACGGCAGCACGGGUGCUUGCACCUGGUGGCGAGUGGCGAACGGGUGAGUAAUACAUCGGAACAUGUCCUGUAGUGGGGGAUAGCCCGGCGAAAGCCGGAUUAAUACCGCAUACGAUCCACGGAUGAAAGCGGGGGACCUUCGGGCCUCGCGCUAUAGGGUUGGCCGAUGGCUGAUUAGCUAGUUGGUGGGGUAAAGGCCUACCAAGGCGACGAUCAGUAGCUGGUCUGAGAGGACGACCAGCCACACUGGGACUGAGACACGGCCCAGACUCCUACGGGAGGCAGCAGUGGGGAAUUUUGGACAAUGGGCGAAAGCCUGAUCCAGCAAUGCCGCGUGUGUGAAGAAGGCCUUCGGGUUGUAAAGCACUUUUGUCCGGAAAGAAAUCCUUGACUCUAAUACAGUCGGGGGAUGACGGUACCGGAAGAAUAAGCACCGGCUAACUACGU